AUGAUAAUUAUCAUUGUGACUUUAAAUCCGCAAUUAGAAGUUCCAACAUGAAUCUAGGAGAAACUGAAAAGGAGGAAAAGCUACGGGAGUCUGCGUGCACGGGUGAUCUCGAUCAGUUGAAGAGGCUGAUUGAAUACGACCAUGUUAACGUAAAUUCAAAAAACAAUAUCAACGGGUGGACAGCCUUACACUGGGCCUGCAAGCGCAAUCAUGUGAAUGUUGUCAAGUACCUGUUAGAUCAUGGAGCAGACAAGGAUGUUCAGAACACAAGCAAGGAGUUGCCUGCACAGCUCACCAACACAGCAGAGAUACGACACAUAUUGGACUAUUCUGGAGGGAACAAGGAUGGUAAGCCCCUGCCCAUCACACCCAGCUAUCUCAAGUACCCAGUAUUUCCUUAUGGCAGUGGGGAAACUGACCCACCCUCAGGACCUCAGGAACCCCUUUACCACGCCCCUGUCGUCAAUGGCAGCAUUCAGAGACCUCCAAAUGUAGAUCCAAAUGAACUUGUUUUAAAAGUCAGGGUAGCCUAUUUAACAGACAAAGACUUUAUAGAGGUCGAACUGAGUCGCAGCAAUCUAACAUAUGACUCCCUGAUGACUUUACUUACAAGAGAGCUUGGAGUGGACAGAAAGCUUGUGCACAAGAUACGCAAACUUCCGAACACAGUUUUAAGGAAAGAUAAAGAUGUGGCGCGGCUAGUGGAUUUUCAAGAGCUUGAGUUGGUUUUGACAAACAGAGCAAUGUCUGCAUGUUCUCGGGUGUAUGCGGGGGAUCUCGGCGACAGUUUCCAGCGUGAACAAAUAUUGUAUUAGCUAUUUAUAUUUAUGGUAUUUUUCUUCUUUUGUUCGGAGAUUUUUUAACCAGGUUUUCCGAAGGAAAAAACUGGUUAUUAGAUUGGCGAAUGCGGGCGGGCGGAACAAGCUUGUCCGGGCCAUAACUAUGUCGUUCAUUGUCAUAUUUUUAAAUCAUUUGGCACAUUUGUUCACCAUCAUUGGACGGUGUGUCGCGCGAAAUAAUUACGUCGAUACCUCCAAGGUCAAGGUCACACUUUGAGUUCAAAGGUCAAAAUUGGCAAUAAAUGAGCUUGUCUGGGCCAUAACUAUGUCAUUCAUUGUGAGAUUUUACAAUUAUUUGGCACAUUUGUUCACCAUCAUGGGACGGUGUGUCGCACGAAAGAAUCACGUCAAUAUCUCCAAUGUCAAGGUCACCACAACUUAAAAUAGAUUUAUUUUGAAACAAACUUACAAAGGGGGUUAAUUUUGUUUGUUCAUUUCAAAAGUUCAGUUUGAGUUGUCUCCCUUAAUCAGAUUUUUUUUCACAAUGAAAACCUGGUUUUGUGACAAUUUUGUCCCUUGUUUUUAUCUGAUUUUGGGGAAAGGGCCUGGCCUUUUUUGAGGGGAACAAAAUAGCUUGAAUUGUCGGAUUUUGGGGGAAAUAAGGAAAUUCUUAAAUAAUCAAUUUGAGAUAUUUUACUGUUUUCAAAACAAAUUCAAGGCAACAGAUAAUUUAAUUAUGCAAUAUUUUUCUAUUUU